rnacentral:lncRNA from 1 species
UUCCUUUAUCAAAAUGAUGGAAUUGUGAUCAGUCUUUUGGAUAAAUCCUCCUUUAUUUGCAUAUACAUUAAAAAGUCUCACUUCUAUAAAAGGUCAAAAUUCAUGGGAUACUCUUUUCAAGAUUUCUAAUCGAAGGGAAACAAGUAUAUUUUUUUCAUGAUUCAAAUAAAACUACUGCAUUUUACUUAAAAGUGCUUAUUUUAACAAAACUGUUCUUAUUUUUAUGCUAUAUCAGAUUUUAAUGUUUCCAGAUCUGGAACAACCUUUAUUCCCUAAAUUUUUUGUUUUAAAAGUUAAGGACAAAGAUCAUCGUCAGAGGUGAAGUAUAAACAGCCCUACACUGAAAAGCAUCCAUCCAUCCACUUACAUA